GAUAAACGCUGGCGGCGUGCCUAAUACAUGCAAGUCGAGCGAACGGACGAGAAGCUUGCUUCUCUGAUGUUAGCGGCGGACGGGUGAGUAACACGUGGAUAACCUACCUAUAAGACUGGGAUAACUUCGGGAAACCGGAGCUAAUACCGGAUAAUAUUUUGAACCGCAUGGUUCAAAAGUGAAAGACGGUCUUGCUGUCACUUAUAGAUGGAUCCGCGCUGCAUUAGCUAGUUGGUAAGGUAACGGCUUACCAAGGCAACGAUGCAUAGCCGACCUGAGAGGGUGAUCGGCCACACUGGAACUGAGACACGGUCCAGACUCCUACGGGAGGCAGCAGUAGGGAAUCUUCCGCAAUGGGCGAAAGCCUGACGGAGCAACGCCGCGUGAGUGAUGAAGGUCUUCGGAUCGUAAAACUCUGUUAUUAGGGAAGAACAUAUGUGUAAGUAACUGUGCACAUCUUGACGGUACCUAAUCAGAAAGCCACGGCUAACUACGUGCCAGCAGCCGCGGUAAUACGUAGGUGGCAAGCGUUAUCCGGAAUUAUUGGGCGUAAAGCGCGCGUAGGCGGUUUUUUAAGUCUGAUGUGAAAGCCCACGGCUCAACCGUGGAGGGUCAUUGGAAACUGGAAAACUUGAGUGCAGAAGAGGAAAGUGGAAUUCCAUGUGUAGCGGUGAAAUGCGCAGAGAUAUGGAGGAACACCAGUGGCGAAGGCGACUUUCUGGUCUGUAACUGACGCUGAUGUGCGAAAGCGUGGGGAUCAAACAGGAUUAGAUACCCUGGUAGUCCACGCCGUAAACGAUGAGUGCUAAGUGUUAGGGGGUUUCCGCCCCUUAGUGCUGCAGCUAACGCAUUAAGCACUCCGCCUGGGGAGUACGACCGCAAGGUUGAAACUCAAAGGAAUUGACGGGGACCCGCACAAGCGGUGGAGCAUGUGGCUUAAUUCGAAGCAACGCGAAGAACCUUACCAAAUCUUGACAUCCUUUGACAACUCUAGAGAUAGAGCCUUCCCCUUCGGGGGACAAAGUGACAGGUGGUGCAUGGUUGUCGUCAGCUCGUGUCGUGAGAUGUUGGGUUAAGUCCCGCAACGAGCGCAACCCUUAAGCUUAGUUGCCAUCAUUAAGUUGGGCACUCUAAGUUGACUGCCGGUGACAAACCGGAGGAAGGUGGGGAUGACGUCAAAUCAUCAUGCCCCUUAUGAUUUGGGCUACACACGUGCUACAAUGGACAAUACAAAGGGCAGCGAAACCGCGAGGUCAAGCAAAUCCCAUAAAGUUGUUCUCAGUUCGGAUUGUAGUCUGCAACUCGACUACAUGAAGCUGGAAUCGCUAGUAAUCGUAGAUCAGCAUGCUACGGUGAAUACGUUCCCGGGUCU
rnacentral:rRNA from 1 species